AAGUCGUAACAAGGUUUCCGUAGGUGAACCUGCGGAAGGAUCAUUAACACGUAUCCAACGUUAAAACAACCCCGUGAACUUUCAGCUUGCUCCUGUAGCCCGUGAAAACAGCAAUCCCUGGUAAAUCAUUGUUGACCAGCUUUUGAGUCAGGGACCUCUGCCGAUUGUUAUAUUUUAUAGCUACGGUUGAGCGAUUGCAUCUAGUGUAAGGAUGGCGCAGUCACGAUCGCUGUAGGCCCACACACGGCCGGCGACCGGGUCACCGGGCUCUGCCCCUUUACGACAACACAGUACGAAUUGGCCGCGCGUGAAAUUCGCACGGCACCAAAAACCGAACAACUGUUAACAAUGGAUAUCUUGGUUCUC
rnacentral:misc_RNA from 1 species